AACGAACGCUGGCGGCGUGCUUAACACAUGCAAGUCGAACGGAAAGUCCCUGCUUUUGUGGGGUGCUCGAGUGGCGAACUGGUGAGUAACACUUGAGUAACCUGCCCCUGACUUUGGGAUAACCUCAGGACACUUGGGCUAAUACCGGAUAGGAGCUCCUGCUUCAUGGUGGGGGUUGGAUAGUUUCGGCGGUUGGGGAUGGACUCGCGUCGUAUUAGCUUGUUGGUGGGGUAGUGGAUUAGCAAGGCUUUGACCGGUAGCCGGCCUGAGAGGAGAACAGGACCAGCUAGACUGGGACUGAGACACGGACCAGACUGCGACGGAGCGGAGGAGUGGGUUGUACAGGACGAGGAGGCCAGACCUAGUAAAGCAGUGCGGGGGAUGAGGGGAAGGGGGUAGGAAAGUAAAGUCGCCUGAGACGAGGCGAUAGUGACGGUAACGGGUGAAUAAGCACCGGCUAACUACGUG
rnacentral:rRNA from 1 species